rnacentral:lncRNA from 1 species
AGUCUUCAUGUCUUAUUCCUAGAAGGAAAGAGGAAGCAAAAUAUUUGGGGACUAGAAGCCUCCUUCUGAACCUGCACCUUAAUUUCUCUCCCCUGCAUGUGGGGCCCCAUAUACACUCAUCAGGGGGAAGGAUCUGAAUUGUUCUUCUGUCAGUUGGCCUAGUCAGUAUAAAAUUGAACUCUAGGAGGCUUAGGUACUGUGAUAUUCCUCUCAUUUUGUUGUAAAGUAGGAAAAGUGGGUGAGUGUUGGAAUGUCCAAGAAAUAAGCUAACUUGCUCAAGAAGCAAUCGCCCCCCUCCAGGCCCUCCAUUGACUGCCACUGUGAAGCACAUUUAUCACCUGAUCUUAGGACUCAUUGAUCCAGCAGAUGAAGGUACUCUUGGCUGCUGCACUGCUCCUCAUAGAUGCCCGCAGAAGAAAAUGCCUCUCCAUUUGCCCUUGCCAUUUAGGACAGAACUUGCCUGGGGCACAGGGGACCCAGUGACUGCCAACUUCCUUAGGACCACUUUGCUUUCCGAUCAGAAGCCAGUUUCUUUCCACAGCGUGUGAUCUGAGAGACUGGUGCACACACAGUAGGUUCUCAGUGAAGACGUGGAGUCUGUAUUUGGGUUCCAGAUGUGGAGAAGGGACAGUCUCCUGAGCUCACGAGGCAGCCUUUGCUAGUCGAUGCUGCAUUCUCUUCCUUCCCUAGAGUCCCCUUCCGAUGAUGACGGCUCCCCAUUGUCCUUGUGUUCAGAUUAAGAUUGUACCUCAUCCGAACCUGCUUCCUGCAGUGUGGUCUCAGUGACUUCUCAGACUCUCAAGAGCAGAAACAUUUUUAUCUGUGGUAAUCUAGGAUGAUAGUUUUCUCCUCAGUCAUAGGGCUAAUAAUUGCCCCUAUGGCCAUGCCAUCAGUCACUGCUUCCUGGUGCCAUGGCACCCAGGACACAGGAAAAUGAGUUCUGCUGGAGCAUUUGUGUAUAUUAUUAGGGGGACCACCUGGGGGUGUUUGUUUUAUGGGUUUUGUUGUUGUUGUUUUAAUAAUAGUCUUUAUUCCUGUGAUAGUU